rnacentral:rRNA from 1 species
GGGGAAUAUUGCGCAAUGGGGGAAACCCUGACGCAGCAACGCCGCGUGAGCGAUGAAGGCCUUCGGGUCGUAAAGCUCUGUCUGGAGGGAUGAAAAAAAUGACAGUACCUCCGGAGGAAGCCCCGGCUAACUACGUGCCAGCAGCCGCGGUAAUACGUAGGGGGCAAGCGUUGUCCGGAAUUACUGGGCGUAAAGGGCGCGUAGGCGGUCUUGUAAGUCAGAUGUGAAAGUCCAGGGCUCAACCGUGGAAUUGCAUUUGAAACUAUAAGACUUGAGUGCAGGAGAGGAGAGCGGAAUUCCUAGUGUAGCGGUGAAAUGCGUAGAGAUUAGGAAGAACACCAGUGGCGAAGGCGGCUCUCUGGACUGUAACUGACGCUGAGGCGCGAAAGCGUGGGGAGCGAAC